rnacentral:rRNA from 1 species
GACGAACGCUGGCGGCGUGCCUAAUACAUGCAAGUAGAACGCUGAAGAGAGGAGCUUGCUCUUCUUGGAUGAGUUGCGAACGGGUGAGUAACGCGUAGGUAACCUGCCUUGUAGCGGGGGAUAACUAUUGGAAACGAUAGCUAAUACCGCAUAACAAUGGAUGACACACGUCAUUUAUUUGAAAGGGGCAAUUGCUCCACUACAAGAUGGACCUGCGUUGUAUUAGCUAGUAGGUGAGGUAAUGGCUCACCUAGGCGACGAUACAUAGCCGACCUGAGAGGGUGAUCGGCCACACUGGGACUGAGACACGGCCCAGACUCCUACGGGAGGCAGCAGUAGGGAAUCUUCGGCAAUGGGGGCAACCCUGACCGAGCAACGCCGCGUGAGUGAAGAAGGUUUUCGGAUCGUAAAGCUCUGUUGUAAGUCAAGAACGGGUGUGAGAGUGGAAAGUUCACACUGUGACGGUAGCUUACCAGAAAGGGACGGCUAACUACGUG